rnacentral:sRNA from 1 species
UUCGCUUUCGCUCUUUUCAGUCGAGGCCGACCCCUGAGUUAGGACAAAAGCAUGUCUUCCCUUCCUGGGUGCAUUGGUUUGGAUGCAGCAACAGCUACAGUGGAGUCUGAAGAGAUUGCAGAGCUGCAACAGGCAGUGGUUGAGGAACUGGGUAUCUCUAUGGAGGAACUUCGGCAUUUCAUCGAUGAGGAACUGGAGAAGAUGGAUUGUGUACAGCAACGCAAGAAGCAGCUAGCAGAGUUAGAGACAUGGGUAAUACAGAAAGAAUCUGAGGUGGCUCAAGUUGACCAACUCUUUGAUGAUGCAUCAAGGGCAGUGACUAAUUGUGAGUCUUUGGUGAAGGACUUCUACUCCAAGCUGGGACUACAAUACCGGGACAGUAGCUCUGAGGACGAAUCUUCCCGGCCUACAGAAAUAAUUGAGAUUCCUGAUGAAGAUGAUGAUGUCCUCAGUAUUGAUUCAGGCAAAAUCCUGACAGAUGACUUUGCAGACAAGGAGGGUCUGGAAAUGGGUGAUGAGUACUUUGCAAAUCUGGACCAUAUCGAGAGCGUGGAGAACUUCAAAGAAGGAUAUGAGAGUGAUGCCCCCUGUUCCUCUGACAGCAGUGGUGUAGACUUGAAGGACCAGGAAGAUGGCAACAGCGGUACAGAGGACCCUGAAGAGUCCAAUGAUGAUAGCUCAGAUGAUAACUUCUGUAAAGAUGAGGACUUCAGCACCAGUUCAGUGUGGCGGAGCUAUGCUACCCGGAGGCAGACCCGGGGCCAGAAAGAGAACGGACUCUCUGAGACAAC